UUAUCCGGAUUUAUUGGGUUUAAAGGGAGCGUAGAUGGAUGUUUAAGUCAGUUGUGAAAGUUUGCGGCUCAACCGUAAAAUUGCAGUUGAUACUGGAUGUCUUGAGUGCAGUUGAGGCAGGCGGAAUUCGUGGUGUAGCGGUGAAAUGCUUAGAUAUCACGAAGAACUCCGAUUGCGAAGGCAGCCUGCUAAGCUGCAACUGACAUUGAGGCUCGAAAGUGUGGGUAUCAAACAGGAUUAGAUACCCUGGUAGUCCACACGGUAAACGAUGAAUACUCACUGUUUGCGAUAUACGGCAAGCGGCCAAGCGAAAGCGUUAAGUAUUCCACCUGGGGAGUACGCCGGCAACGGUGAAACUCAAAGGAAUUGACGGGGGCCCGCACAAGCGGAGGAACAUGUGGUUUAAUUCGAUGAUACGCGAGGAA
rnacentral:rRNA from 1 species